AAAAAAUUUGUUUUAAAAAAUUUGAGAAUUUAUCUGUAAAUGACGAAAAAACAAUAGCCGAAUAAUCGAAUUUGCAGCUUUUCUGUCAAUAAACUUUUAGCUAACGUCUUGCAAAAUUUAGUCUCGACAACUUGGCUGUUUUGGCAUCUGAAAUUGAAAGCAAUGGAGAAACAUUAGUAGAGAAUCUCUGCAGUGCGCACGACGAGAAAAACGGCCGAAUAAUCGAAGCAGCUUUUCUAUCAAUAUACAAGCCGUACAGAAUAGAAUGCAACAUAAGUAUAAAUCAGAAUAUAAGGAUUUUUAAGAAAAAAGAAGAAGUAACGUGUUUCUCUAAAUAAUUUUUUCUAAU